rnacentral:rRNA from 1 species
CAAUAGCGUAUAUUAAAGUUGUUGCGGUUAAAAAGCUCGUAGUUGGAUUUCUGCCGAGGACGACCGGUCCGCCCUCUGGGUGUGUAUCUGGCUCGGCCUGGGCAUCUUCUUGGAGAACGUAUCUGCACUUGACUGUGUGGUGCGGUAUCCAGGACUUUUACUUUGAGGAAAUUAGAGUGUUUCAAGCAGGCAUACGCCUUGAAUACAUUAGCAUGGAAUAAUAAGAUAGGACCUCGGUUCUAUUUUGUUGGUUUCUAGAGCUGAGGUAAUGAUUAAUAGGGAUAGUUGGGGGUGCUAGUAUUCAGCGGCCAGAGGUGAAAUUCUUGGAUUCGCUGAAGACUAACUUAUGCGAAAGCAUUCACCAAGGAUGUCUUCUUUAAUCAAGAACGAAAGUUGGGGGAUCGAAGAUGAUUAGAUACCGU